AGCAGCCGCGGUAAUUCCAGCUCCAAUAGCGUAUAUUAAAGUUGUUGCAGUUAAAAAGCUCGUAGUUGAAUUUCGGGGUUAGUAGGUUGGUCAUGCCUCUGGUAUGUACUGGUCUCACUGAUUCCUCCUUCCUGAUGAACCGUAAUGCCAUUAAUUUGGUGUUGCGGGGAAUUUGGACUGUUACUUUGAAAAAAUUAGAGUGUUUAAGGCAAGCUAACGCUUGAAUACAUUAGCAUGGAAUAAUGAAAUAGGACGUUCGAUCCUAUUUUGUUGGUUUCUAGGAUUGACGUAAUGAUUAAUAGGGAUAGUUGGGGGCAUUAGUAUUCAAUUGUCAGAGGUGAAAUUCUUGGAUUUAUUGAAGACUAACUACUGCGAAAGCAUUUGCCAAGGAUGUUUUCAUUAAUCAAGAACGAAAGUUAGGGGAUCGAAGACGAUCAGAUACCGUCGUAGUCUUAACCAUAAACUAUGCCGACUAGGGAUCGGAUGAUGUUAAUUUUUUAAUGACUCA
rnacentral:rRNA from 1 species